UCUAACAACAUAUAAAAAUCGAAUGUGGACCUACUUAUUUUUCAAUUGAAUGUAAUUGACUAUCUAAUUGAGUGCCACCUAUGCAUUGGGGCCUCUUUUAAUUAAUACAAAAUUGAGGUUACAUCUUUUCAAAUGUUUCUCAAUUAAUAUAUAGGGGAUUUGAUUUGUAAUUUGUAUGAAGAAAUAGAAAAAGAUGAAAAAGUAGGUUCUACCGAGAAUUGAACUCGGGUUACUGGAUUCAGAGUCCAAUGUCCUAACCGCUAGACCAUAGAACCACCUGUUAUGUCUAUCGAUAUAAAUGUUUAUAACUAUAUAUCACCAGGCUUGCCAUAAAAGUACGCUACACUCACCGACGGCGUUUAAAAGAACAUUACCGGACAUCAGUUACGUCCGCAUUGGGGUUGAAGAGACAACCGUCGGAUUCAAAGGGAGCCUCAGCAUCUGGACGGCUCAUAUUUGAUCUCUCUUCUUCUUCUUCUCUCUCUCAAAGAAGAAAAGCACCAGACGUUGACGAGAGAGAGAGAGAAGGGAGAGACAGAGUCACCAGUUCGGUUUCCUGGAAAAUUUUCAGUUAAUUCUGUCAAUCAAUUUCUCUUAACUUUGUCUCUCCUUUCUCGACAUUUCCAGAUUUCUAUAAUCGAAUCCAUUCUCACAGAUUCCCAAAAGUGGCAAAAGAAGCAAUGUACUGUUAAUCGGUUUCGAAAGAAAGAAAUUUUCUUUUCCGAGAAGAAGAAGAGAAAAUGAUUAGUUUUUGAAUUUUGGGACUUUUUUGUUUUUUCGAUUUUUGGAAAUUGAUUUUUGGUAAAUGGAGACGGAGAGUAUGGAGUUUGAAUCGUCGAUGAACGAAGGAACUCACCACUUCUCUUCCACCAAGACUCACGCCGUCGUUACCAAUAUAGUCGGUCCGGCGGCAACUAGCGUCUACGAGCUUCUAGAGUGCCCUGACUGUACCUUUUCCAUGUAUCCACCUAUCCAUCAGUGUCAAAAUGGACACACGUUAUGCUCGACCUGUAAAGUGAGAGAGUGCACAACCGUUGUGCCACGUGUAGACAAGAGCUCGGAGAUAUUCGAUGUUUAGACCAACCGCAACGGCGGUCUGUCACGGGUCCGUAGCCCAAAUCCUUAGCUUUUUUACAAUUAAAAAAUUGUGAAUUGGGCUAAGCUUUAGACGGUUCAGUCCGUAAAUAAGACUUCGAAGGAUCAAGUCCGUACUGCACGUGGCGUCUGAUGGUUGGCCCGGCAAGGUUUUGUGUUGGGUUAUGUCGAAACAAAAAAAAAUUUAAUUAUGUUUAUAUUUAAUCAUGUUUUUAUUUAGGAAUUUUUCUAUCUUUAUGUAAAAUUAUUGUUUUUAUCUUUAAUUGUUGUAUUUUUAUGUUUAAUUAUUGUUUUUAUGUUUAUUUAUUGUAUUUUAUGUUAAGUUAUCCUAUUUAAUCAUCCAAUAUAUAAAAAUUAUAUUUCACUAAACAAAAAAAAGAUACAUUUUUUUAUUCCUAAAGAUUCCAAUUUCGUGAUCAACAUUGUACACACAUUUUUCACAAGAGUCCUUAACUAUUCAAUAAAAAAUAAUAAUAAUAAUACUAAUCUAAUCCUAAGGACUCCACAAUGGGUAUCACAUUUAUUUACAAAGAGCUAUAUACAGUUAGAAACAAAGACCUAUACACAAACAUAGAGCCAACACAUUAAAAGAAAAUGAUUCAUUAAUAAAAACCCAUUUAAGGAAACCGGAACUACAUAGACCAAACACCUAACAAGAACAUAGAACAUACACCAAACAAGAACAUAGAGCAUACAUAAAAUAUCAUACAUAAAGAGACAUCUUCUUCUUAAUUUUUUUUCAGAAUAACUCGGCUAGGAGCUUAUUCUUCACAACUACUUCCGCCUCACUCAAUAGUUCAGUACGGGUAAGGAGAGUGUCUAGUAUUGCUAGCCUCGACAGUUUCUCCUUCCUCACCAAAUCGUCUUUCUUCAUUUCCCAAACAGUCGCAAUCUCAGCCACGGACUUUUUUUUACCCGUAUUUCUUUUAGCCUUAGCAGCCUUGACACCUUCGGGCCUGCUCUCAACAUCAACGAAGCCUUCGUUGGUAGAAGUUUAGGAAUUUAUCUCCACAUUCUUCCUCUUCGAAACGCCACCAGUCGUGGGUGUGUUGAGGCUGAGCCACUUCUGUUCAAACCUCAACACACACCAAGCAUGUUCAAGUGUGAACUUGUGCUCUUGAUCAGAGAAGAAAAUGUCAUGUGCCUUCUUCAGAACGUCAGUGUCAGUCUCACCACUUCUCAUUUGUCGCUCUGCUGCCGAGUAUGCGGCACAGAACUUGUUAACAUCUUCAUUGAUUCUGUGCCACCCCUUCUUGCAACAACCGUGCUCUCUCACACCAUCCUCUCUUCCAUGAGGACUUGAUGCAUAAUAAGCAGCAACCCGUUUCCAGAAGGCCCCCGACCUCUGCUCAUUUGCAACAAUAGCAUCCUUCGAAGUGUUAAGCCACGCACUGAUCAGCACCUCGUCAUCUGCUAGAUUCCAUUUGCGUCUUACAACACGGGCAGCUGGUGUCUGUACGGGUGUCUCUACUGGUGCGUCUUGAGAUUGUUGUGAACUGAAAGCCGGAAAAGGCUGUGAUUCUCCAAAGUUAACACUAGAAUGAAAACUUUCAUAAGGAAAGUUUUCAUGAAAAAUGCUACCUUAUUGACUGUGAAGCAGUCCUACGUAGCUAGAGGACUGGCUAGGAAGAUUGUUUGGAUCCAUAACAGUAAGAAAAUAUAAGAGAUUUCUUGGAGAAAGACUAAUGAGAUGAUAGAAGAGAGAAAAGAUAAGAGAUUUAAAUAGGAGGAAGUGAAGAAUACAAAGUACAUCACCACCUUAAUGGCCAACUCCGAACAAGAAAUGUCUAAUCCCAACUUAAUACACAACUAAAAAGCUAUCAACUUUCUUUUAAAACAUCAGUGGCUUAAAUAUAUAUCUAACAUUUAAUAUAUACCACAAAAUGUCUAACAGAAGACAGAGAAACAAUCAGUUGAAUGCAUUACUAUUGCAAGAUUUAAAAAAACAUUGAUCUAUAAACUAUGAAAAAUGCAAAGUCUCAUGAAGAAAGCUAAUCAAGACAAAUGAUAUGAGAUAUUUAAAUCUAUACGAAUCAAACUCUAAACUAUUAGUCUAUACGAAUCAAAUAUAUACAAAUGACAUGAGCUUAUUUUCACAGGUUGGAAUUUGCACACAUAUCAAACUCUAAACCACUUAAACAAUUGAUCUCGAACCAUAGAAAUCUAUACGAAACAAUCAUACAGUUGUUCAUAGAAAUCUAUACUAAACAAUCAAACAUAGAAAUUUGAACAAUCAUACAAUCAAAACAAAACAAUCACACAAGCUACAACGAAACAAUCAUACAAUCGAACCAUAUAAAGCUUUGGAAAUCUAUACGAACUAUCAUAAAUUGCCGAACCCUAGCAACUAUUCAAUUGUUCUCAAACCAAUGAAUCUAUAUCUUUUUUCCAUCGAAUCUAUCAAACACUCGGAUAAAUACCAUUUUAUUCGUCGAAUUUCGAGAAAACCCUAAAAAAAAUAUCGAAAUCAGAUCGGGCUUGAAAAACAAACCUUGUUAAGAUUGGGACGAUUCUCAAUGGUUUUGGGGAGGAUUGGUUCUCGUCGUAUUGGAACGGACGAACCGAUGUGGAUUGGGCUUUGGAGGAGGAUCAGGGGAUCAAACGACGCCGGAAGCUGCGACCUCGCCAACGGAGAUAAAGAGAUCUCCAACUCCAGUGAAAGAGAGAAGACGCAGGGUUGCCUUUCGAUUUGAAGAGAUGGAUUUAGAGAUCAAGGCUUCGCCAUCGCCAUCGCCAUCGCCAUCGAGCUUUGGAAUUUAUUUUAAUUUCGAUUUCAGAUUUCUCGAGGAGAAGAACACCCGAACAACACAGAUGGAAUCGCCCACUCCCGUGCUGCCAUGUCUCCUAUGAGACGAGCCCGAACAGCCCUUACUUAAGGCCCGUCCCACUCUCUUUUAAUUUCUUUUUCAUUUAUUAUUAACCCAUUUAAACUUACGGGACUGGUCUAAGGGCCCCCGAUACCGAUGCUCUUAGCUCUCGAGAAAGUAGCCGAGUCCCUUGAGCUGCCUUGCAAGUAUUACGACCUCGGAUGCCCUUGCAAGUAAAAUUCUGAAGAUUUUUUAUACAAACAAAUCUCAAGCUUUUUAAAAUCAACUAGUUGAUGUACCGCACCUUGUGCGGAUAAAUAUAUCUGUACAUCUAACAAUUUUUAAUUCUAUUUUUUAUAAGAUAAUAAUAAUUGAAUUAGAUACAAAUUUUAAAUUUUAAUUCAGAUAUAUUAGUAUACUUAUAUAUAAAUUUUAUAAUAAUCUGUAUUUGAUCAAUAUUUUCAGUAAAAAAUCAGAGAAAUUGGCUAUAAUAUUAGUCAUUAAAAUUAUAAAUGAGAGAAAAGUAAUGAUGAUAUUAUCGGUAUAUAUUAUUAAUAUCUAUUUAUUAAUUAAAUAUCGUAAAUAUCAUGUUUAUUAUAUAUUAAAAUAUUUUUUAGAAAAUAUUAGUAUAUAUAUCGGUAAAAUAGGUUCAUGUUUAUCAUGAUUUUAAAUAUCAUGAUAAAUAUAUAGAUAUCAAAUAUUAAAAAAUUAAUAAUAAUAUUAAUUAAACUAAUGAUUUAUCCUAAAAUCAUUAAAAAUAUGACAAGUAAACAAAUUAACUAAA